rnacentral:rRNA from 1 species
UCCAGCGGNGACUUACGCGUUAGCUGCGGCACUGANGGGUUGAAANCCCCCAACACCUAGUACACAUCGUUUAGGGCGUGGACUACCGGGGUAUCUAAUCGUGUUCGCUCCCCACGCUUUCGUGCCUGAGCGUCAGUNUNGGCCCAGGGGGGCGCCUUCGCCAGGGGUGUUCCUCCAUAUCUCUACGCAUUUCACCGCUACACGGGGAAUUCCACCCCCCUCUGCCACACUCGAGUCUCACAGUCACAAGCGCAUUUCCCAGGUUGAGCCGGGGGAUUUCACAUCAGACUUAAAAAACCGCCUGCGCACGCUUUACGCCCAAUAAUUCAGAAUAACGCUCGCACCCUACGUAUUACCGCGGGUGCUGGCACGUAUUUAGCCGGUGCUUUUUCUGGGGGUACCGUCAUUGACGCNGGGUAUAANNCANAANUUUUUCUUCCCAGACAAAAGAGCUUUACNACCCGAANGCCUUCUUCACUCACGCGGAAUGGCUAGAUCAGGCUUGCCCCCAUUGUAAAAAAUUCCCCAGUGGUGCC